GUCAUGAACAAUGUGGUGACUUGAACAAUUUUUAUGAUUUUAAAAAGGUGGCCAAAAGUUGCAUUAAUACUAUCAAACUUAGGAUUUCCACAGUGCAAUGGAUUCAAGUGAGAGCUGAGAACCCUGGGCUGAUAAAAACAAAAACCUCAUUUAACAGUUUUGAAUCAUGGAAAAUGUUUAAGGUUCUGAAGAAGGGAGUAACUGUCGAAAAAAUAAAAUCUAUGAUGUUACCGCAACUGGAAUCCACUAAUCAUAUUUUUGAAGAAAAGAGAAAAGAUCUUGAACAAAUGCUUCCAUUCUUGAAUUCAGAUGAACAGCGACAGUUUUUACUGACAUCAUCUGAGGACGAAACACUUGGUUUAGCUUUCCACAUUAUUUCAGCAAUGGCACUUACAGCCUUUUUCAAGAAAACGACAAAUGGAGCUUCA
rnacentral:lncRNA from 1 species